AAGCAGGCGGUUAUCCCUCUCUAGCCUGAUCGGGUGGCUCUAGAGGGAGUCAGUCUGCAAAAUCAAAUGGAAGGCCCUGUUUCUGUCCAGCACCACAGUGCUUUGGUGGUGGUUGCAGACCUGCCAUAUAUGG
rnacentral:snoRNA from 13 species